AAGCAGAGGGGGCUUAGUGGUGGGGUGACUGCGUACCUUUUGUAUAAUGGGUCAGCGACUUAUAUUCUGUAGCAAGGUUAACCGCAUAGGGGAGCCGAAGGGAAACCGAGUCUUAAUUGGGCGUUAAGUUGCAGGGUAUAGACCCGAAACCCGGUGAUCUAGCCAUGGGCAGGUUGAAGGUUGGGUAACACUAACUGGAGGACCGAACCGACUAAUGUUGAAAAAUUAGCGGAUGACCUGUGGCUGGGGGUGAAAGGCCAAUCAAACCGGGAGAUAGCUGGUUCUCCCCGAAAGCUAUUUAGGUAGCGCCUCGUGAACUCAUCUCCGGGGGUAGAGCACUGUUUCGGCUAGGGGGCCAUCCCGGCUUACCAACCCGAUGCAAACUGCGAAUACCGGAGAAUGUUAUCACGGGAGACACACGGCGGGUGCUAACGUCCGUCGUGAAGAGGGAAACAACCCAGACCGCCAGCUAAGGUCCCAAAGUCAUGGUUAAGUGGGAAACGAUGUGGGAAGGCCCAGACAGCCAGGAUGUUGGCUUAGAAGCAGCCAUCAUUUAAAGAAAGCGUAAUAGCUCACUGGUCGAGUCGGCCUGCGCGGAAGAUGUAACGGGGCUAAACCAUGCAC
rnacentral:rRNA from 1 species